GAUGCUAGGGGCUAAAGGUCAUGCGUUUCAUGCUUGCAUGAAAAAGCAUGACUUUGAGACCCGUAAAAACAUGGGAAAGUAGCCCAUUAGGGCGGAUUUCGAAUGUUUUUAGGAUUGCGGGAGCAUGCAAGGCGGAGCAAUCCGUAGCA
rnacentral:sRNA from 1 species